rnacentral:ncRNA from 1 species
GUAAGAGUUGGGCGGGCUGACCAGCGUCAACGGCGACUCUUGCUUAAAAGCGCUACCGGUGGGAUAGAGACUGAAACAGCGCACAAACGGACGGCGAAGCUAGCAUCCGUGUCUCGCAUGGCUGGCGGGU